rnacentral:lncRNA from 10 species
GCUCUCUGAGGUCUGGCAGGACCAGAGGUGCUAAAAGCUCAGGUCUCCACUGCUUAGUAUUCUCAGAAUGGCCAAAAGGGAGUCAUUUGGGCUGAAUUAUGUUCCCUCUAAGAGUCACCUGCUGAUGAUCUAACCACUGGGACCUCAGAAUGUGGCUGUAUUUGGAGCUCGGGUCCUUUAAAAGGUGAUUGAGUUAAAAUUAGGUCAUUAGGGUGGGCCCUAAUCCAUUUUGACUAUUGUCCUUAUAAGAAGAGGAAAUUUGGACACAAAAAGAGAUACCAGGGGCACACAAAGGAGAGACCAUCUGAGGACAUAGCAAGAAGGCAAUGAUCUGCAAGUCAAGAAGAGACGCCUCAGGAGAAACCAAACCUGAAGACACCUGGAUCUUGGACUUCCAGCCUGCAAUACUGUAAGACCAUAAAUUCCUGUUGUUUAAGCCAACCAGGCUGUGUAUUUUGUUAUGGCAGCUCCAGAAAAUGAACACAGGGAGCAAGAGGGCAUAACCUCAGGGAGCGUCCUUUGAUUUCUCUACCUCCUCCACCCCAGGAAGUCCUCUCCAUUUAGUCCUACCUUUACACUGCAGCUGGCCUUCCGCCAGCUGUGGGGCCCUCCGCCCAUGAUGAAUGCAAACUGACACUCAGAUUCCUCAGCGAUGAACACCGAACACUGUCCACAUUACAAAAUCUCUUCCUUCCCUGACUGUGUUUCCCUCCAGAGAAGACUAGGGUGUGUUCUGGACUAAGGCCACAGACGCAAAUUUUCCCUAGAAGAGCCUGGAAAAGAAGCAGUAAGUCACGGAGCUGCAGUUAAGUUAUAAGAAAACUCACCUGAAAAAACAGCCAGGGGUUUUCACAGGGCAGGCCAAUUACGUAAAGCACAUCUCCACUGUGUGUUGUCUUAAGAUAAUGAGGCUCCUCACCAUCAGCAAGAGCUGGCUGGAAGCAGAGGGAUCAGAACACUUGCUUUUGGAGCCCUGGGCUGCCAUGUAAAGGUUCUAACUACCACAAGAUCACUGGAUGAGCUGCAUACAAGCACUCUGUAGGGCAUUUCUGCUGAGCCUAGCCUUCCAGCAAUUCUCACCAAGUCUCCAGACACAUGAACUACACCAUCUUGGACUCUCCAAAUCAGCCCAUCCACCAGCUAAUUAACAUUGAAUGACUUCUGUCAACACCAUGCAUAAUGCAGAAAACCCACCAGCUGAGCCCUGCCCAAAUCCUUGACCUAAAAAAAAUUAUAAAAUACAAUAAAACAGCUGUUGUUUUAAGCUAUUAAGUUUUGAGGUCACUUGAUAUGCAGUGACAGAUAAAACUGGACUGGUAGGGAAGGACCUUCUAAGCACAAAAGUUCAUUAGGAAUCCAAGGAAAGAAUAAUAGAUUUGAAAUUGUAAACUGCUCUAUUUCAAAAGUAAUCAUCACAUACAAAAUUAAAAGACAAUGACAAACUUGAAAAACAUUCUUGUAACAGAUUUAACAAACAAGAAGAAAAGCACAAUAGGAAAAAAAAUGUACAAAUAACAAAAAGCAGUUAUCAGAAAAAAAUUAAGACAAAAAGAGAAAUGCUAUUUAAUUUUUAGUGGCAAUUACUGGUAAAAUAAAUAUAAAUUAGAUAAUAUGAUACCUAUUUGGCUUCAGAUUUGUGAAGAUUUUUUUAAAUGAUAACACUCAAUACCUGCAAGACUGCAGUGUAGCAGGGAUUUACAUACCACUGAUGGGAAUGUAAAUUGGUAAUCUUUCUGGAGAAUAAUCCAAUUAUAUAAAUCAAAAGCCUUAAAUGCCUUUUGCUCAAGUAAUCCCAGUUCUAAAAAUUAAUGAGACAUGUGGCCAAAUAUUUCUUACAUUCUCAUCACAGCACUAUGUAUGAUACUGAGAAGUCAUAAACAACAAAACAUUUAACAGUAGAACUGUUGCUAAAUUUCACAUAAUGGAAUACAAUGAAGCUAUCAAAAGUCACACUCUCACCAAAAUAUUCAUUGCCAGGGGAAUACAUUUAUGAUAUAAUUAAAGUGGAAAAACGUAGUUAAAAGUAUGCAAAAAGAAUAGCCACAGUGUCAUUUACAUACAUGAUAGACAGACUUAAAAAAUGAAUGGAAGGAGCACACUAAAAUAUUAACAGUAGUCUCUGGAAAAACGGUUUAAGUAUUAUUUCCUUCUUUCUCUUUGUGUUUUCCUAAUUUUCCAACAGGAAACCAUAUUAAUUUUAUAAUCAGAAAAGCAGUUUCCUUUUGAGUUAAUUUUUUUUUUUAGUUUCACAGUACUCCAACAAACUUGAACACAGCAUUUCAAGCACUAAAGUUUUCCCAGAAGCCAGGAGUGCUCCCUCAAGAGACCUGCUGUGAUCUGUUUUAGAAGUGUCUGACUUCUAAGCCAUGCCGCAUGGAUCCCCAGGCUCCAACAUUAUCUCUCUAUUAUCCCUUCCUUUUUCCCACCAUACCUCCUGACCACAUCACCACACACAAGUAAAGAUUCUUAUUCCUUCAAUGCCCUCCUGUUAGCAUAGAAAUCACAAAAAGUCACCCUUAGGCCAAAUGGGGUCUAUAGAUCUCUUUUCUUUGAUGCCCCUUUCCAAAAUGUGUUAAUUUUCUUUUUACUAGUUGUCAGUAUUAAAAAAUGAAGAGAGAUUUUUGCCUCCAGGAAGAUGGAAUAGACAUACUUUUUCCCUAUUCCUCUCACUGAGGGCAACAAAAAAUGCUGGACAUUAUUUAUAAAAUAUAAAUGGCUCCAAAAUGUAAAGAGAAGAAGCCAGAUUAGAUAGAGACUUAGGACCUGAGAAACAGCAAAUUAGUGAGUUCCAUGGGUUUUCUUUUUGACUCAUACAUCCCAGACUUAGAACUGAAGAAGCCCACAACCCAGAAACACCAACUGGAGAAGACAAAAAUAGUGCCAAGAAAAGUGUGCUAUCCCUAGCCGGAAAAACAGGGAAAAAGCAACCUAGCAAAACAGAAAACUUUCAGACCAUAACUGCUCUACUCCAACCAAACACUAGAGGAGUGGUGGGGGGAAAUGUGGCCCCACUUCACCCAUAACAGCAAAGCCCACUACGGAACUUCAACUUCCACCAUCAGGAGGCUAUAUCACAAGGCACUCCAACCACCUGACCGGGGUGGUGUCAGUGAAAGCCGAGGAACGAACCAGGACUUUCAUCUACUAUGACCAGUAGGCAGCUCUAACCUUCCCCAACGUGGGGAGCCUGGAGUUUCACCACUACGCAGCAGUAAUGAGGCACAUCUCUCAUUCUCCAAUAGGAAGGUGUGAGAGGAGGCCUCAUAGAGUCUAAGAACUUUCACUCCUAGCCAGCAGUAAUAAAGACGCCCCCACCACUGAAGUCCCCAUCCCACCAGCAGUAAUAAGCAGUUUUUUGAACCCUUACCACCUGUCAACAAAGGCCAAGUGGUAAGUCUGGACUUCUACCUCAACCUGAAAGUUAUAAGGUGGCAGGCCCCUCUUACCCUGCUGGAAUGGUGUCAGAGGAGACCAGCUAAAAGAGUAGAUUUACAGAACAUUUAGAGCCUAAUAACAUAAAUGUAAAAUGUACAGGUUUCAAUAAAAAGUCAGUCAUCAUCCCAAGAACCAGGAAGCUGCUCUCAAACUGAAUGAAAUAAGUCCUACGAUAGGUGCCAACACUGAGAUAACAGAGAUAUUAAAUUUAUCUAACAGAGAUUUUAAAGCAGCCCAUGAUGAAAAUGCUUCAGCAAGCAGUUAUAAACCUGCUUGAAACAAAUAGAAAAAUUGCCUCAGCAAAUAAAUGUAAAAUGUCAGCAGGGAAAUAGAAGAUGUAAAAAAAAGAACCAAGUGGAAAAUUUAAAACUAAAAGAUUGUUUUGUUUUGUUUUCAGACAGGAUCUCACUUUGGUGACCAGGCUGGAGUGCAGAGGUGCGAUCACAGCUUACUGCAGCCUUGAUCUCCUGGGCUCAAAUGAUCCUCUGCCUCAGCCUCUAGAGUAGCUGGGACCACAGGUAUGUGCCACCAUGCCUGGAUAAUUUUUUUAUUUUUUUUCUUUUGCAGAGAUGGGGAAUCUCACUGUGUUGACCAGGCUGGUUUCCAACUCCUGGCCUCAAGCCAUUUCCCACACCUUGGCCUCCCAAAGUGCUUGGAUUACAGGUGUGAGCCACUUUGUCCAGCCCAGAACUAAAAGGUGUUAGCUUUUAAAUCAAGAUUUGAAAGCUCAAUAUAUGGACUUCUAUUAGUUCCUAUUGCCCCCGUGACAAAUUAUCACAAAUACAGUCAGUUAAAACAAUACAAAUUUAUUAUCUUAUAGCUCUGGAGGUCAGAAUUCUGAAGCUGGGCUAAAAUCAAGAUGAGUCAGGGCUGUAUUAUCUUAUAGAAGCUCUAGGGAAGAAUCUGUUCCCUUGUCUUUUCUAGUUUCCUGAAGCUACUUACCUUCCUUGGCUUGUGAGUUCCUUCCAUCUUCAAAGCCAGUAAUGACCUGUCAUGUUUUCUCACAUUGUAUCACUCUGACAAAGACUGUCCUGCCCCUCACACUCACUUAUAAAGACCUUUGUAAUUAUAUUUGGCUCACCAGGAUAAUCUUUCCAUCUCAAGAGUCUUAAUUUAAUCACACCUAUAAAGUCCUUUUUUCCAUGAAAGGUCACAUAUUCCUAUGUUCCAGGGUAAGGAUGUAGACAUCUUUGGGAGGCCAUUCUUCUACCUACAAUAGUCUGCUCACAGAGAUUCAUGUCUGUUCCACAAGUAAAAUACAUUCACCGCAUCCCAAGAUCCCCAAAAGUCUCAAUCCAUUACAGCAUCAACUCAAAGUUCAAAUUCUCAUCUAAAUCUCACCAGCUUAGAAGCCCCAAAUGUCUUCUUCUAUGUCAUUUAAAUAUAUAUGGGUAGGACUCUGAGUAUGAUCAGCUUGGAGUAAAAUUCCUCUGCAUCUAGGAUCUAUAAAACUGAAAACAAAAACAGGGCCAGGUGCAGAGGCUCAUACCUGUAAUCUCAACACCUUGGGAGGCCAUGGCAGAAGGAUCUCUUGAGCUCAAGAGUUUGAGGCUACAGUGAGAUAUGAUCCCACCACUGCACCCCAUCCUAGGUUACACAGUGAGACCCCAUCUCUAAAAAACAAAACAAAAAAAAAUUAUCUGUUUUCAAAAUACAAUAAUGGCAUGAUGGGACUGCCAUAAUAUACCAAUUGUAAACAUUUCCAUUCGAAAGGAAAAAUGAAAGAAAGGAGUCACAAGUCCCAAAUAACUUUUGGGCCUUGUUAUUGCUGGGACUUUUGGGAAAUGCAGCUAGGCAAAUUUUUAGGUUUCAAGGCCUCUGUGGCCCAAGGCUCUAUCCUCUGAGCUCACAGUUCCACCCUUGGGUUCAUCCUUUCUUUUCCAUGAAAGGCAGUGCUUGUUUGUAGCUGCAUAGUUCUAUCAGCCUAUUUCUUAUCUGUAGAAUUUUAGGGACUGGACAGCCCUAUAGAUCUUAAGAAAAUUGAAUUAGUAACUUUUUUAAAAAGAAAAAAAUUUCCAAGCACAUAUGGUAUCACUGGAGAAUUGUAUCAAACAUUUAAAGAACUAAAAACUAAUUUGUACAAUCUCUUCCAGAAAAUAGAAGAGGAGGGAACAUUUUCCAAUUUAUUUUAUGUACCUAGUUUUACCUAGACAUGAAAACCAGACAAAGACAGUACAAAAGAAAGAAAGAAAGCUGUAGACAAAUAUCCCUCAGAAAUAUAGAUGCCAAAAUCCCUAACAAAAUAUUAGCAAAUAGAAUUAACAAUAUAUGAAAAGGAAUUAUAAACUAUGACCAAGUGAAGUUUUUUCCAGAGAUGCAAGCCUGCCUAGUUUAUUAUUUGAAUAUUAAUCAAUGAAAUCCACCAUACUAACAGGCUAUGAUAAAACCUCAAAAGAAAAUAGCAAUAGAGGGUAACUCCCCCAACUUGAUAAAGCAUCUACAAAAAAACUGUAGCUAAUGUUGUACCUAAUGGUGAGAGACUGAGUACUUUCCCCCCAAGAUGAAGAACAAGUCAGGAAGUUCACUCUCACAACACUUAUUCACCAUGGUACUAAAUAUUCUGGCCAUCGUAAUAAGGCAAGAAAAGGAAAUAAGACAUGCAAAUCAGAAAGAAAGAAAGAAAGAAAACUAUAUCUUUUAGAAGAGGACAUGAUUGUCUAUGGCCAUACCACCCUGAAUGUCUGAUCUCAGAAGCUAAAGACGGUUGUGCCUGGUUAGUACUUGGAAGGGAGUCAAGGACAUGAUUGUCAUAGAAAAUCCCAAGAAGUCUAAAAACUAAUAUGUCAGAACUAUGAGUGAGUUUGGCAAGGUCUCAGGAUUCAAAAUAAACAUGCAAAAACCAAUUGUAUUUCUAGACACUAGCAAUAAGCAUGUGGACUCUAAAAUUAAAAGUAUAAUAUCAUUUCCAAUUGCACAAAAAAUGAAAUAGAUAAAACUCUAAGAAAACAUCUAUAGGAAUUGUAUUUGGAAAACUACACAAUGCUGAUAAAAGAUAUGAAAGAAGACCUAAAUAAAUGGAAUUGGCAAAAGGAUAGACUCACAUAUUAAUGAAACAGAAUGGAGAAUCCAGGACACCCACUCAAAUAUGCCCAAUAUAUUUUUGAUAAAUGUGCUAAAGCAAUUCAGUGGAGGAAAGACUUUCAACAAGUGAUUCUGAAGUAAAUAAACAUCUGUAAGCAAAAAAGAUGACUCUCUGCCUAGGUCUCAUACCUUAUAUAAAAAUUUGCUCAAAUGGAUCAUGAACUUAAAUGUAAAAUGUAAAACUAUAAAACUAUUAAAAACAUAGAAAAUCUUCAGAAAUUAAGACUUGGUGAAAAGUUUUAGACUUGAUAACAAAAGCCAAAAAAAGGAAAAGUUAAUAAACUAACUUCAUCACAAUUUUUUUUAAUUUGCUUUCCUAUAAACUCUGUUAAGGGAAUAAAAAGACAAGUUACAGAAUGGUAGAAAAAAUUUACAAAUCACACAUCUGACCAAAGAUGAGCACCUAGAAUACAUUUAAAAAACUUUCAAAGCUCAAAAUAAUUCAAUUAGAAAUGGCUCACACGUGUAAUCCCAGCACUUUGGGAGGCCGAGGGGGGUGGAUUACUUGAGCCCAGGAGUUUGAGACCAGCCUGAGUAACAUGGCAAAACGCUGUCUCUACAAAAAAUUCAAAAAACAAAAAUUAACCAUGCAUGGUGGCACAUCCCUAUAGUCCCAGCUACUCAGGAGGCUGAGGUGGGAGAAUCUUCUGAGCCCAGGAGAUCAAGACUGCAGUGAGCCAUGAUCACGCCACUGCACUCCAGUCUGAGCACUGGAGUAAGACCCUGUCUCAAAAAACAAACAAACAAACAAACAAACAAACAGUUUUCUCCUACUAUACUCUCAACACUUAUCACUUCUGGUUAUCAAGAUGUGGGGGGUACGUUUUCUCCACACACCAAGCAAUUCUCCAGUCCUAUGAUUCAAUUCAAUUCUGACCACGAUCUACCUGGACAUAACAUCAGAUUCCACAAGUUAAAGACUAGGUCCUACAGGACUGCCCACAUUUCAGAUGCCAAUUGCUAGUCCAAGGCUGUUUAUCUGUGCUUCUGACUGACCGAUUAUAAAUCAGAGGUUCCCACAACCUCCCUGCAGAUUCCAUCAUUUGCUAAAAUGGCCCACAAAACUCAGGGAGAUACUUUACUUACAUUCACCCAGUGAUUAUAAAAGGAUACAAUGGAGGAACAGCCAGAUGGAAGAGAUGCAUAGAGCAGGAUAUGGGGCAAGGAGCACGGAGCUUCUAAGCCCUCUCUGGGCAUGCCACCCUCCUGGCACCCCCACAUAUUCAGCAAACUAGAAAUUCUGUGAACUCUGUCCUUUUUGGUAUUAUGGAAUUUCAUUAUGAAGACAUGAUUAAUUAAAUCCUUCGCAACUGGUGAUAAACUCAACCUUCAGCUCCUUUCCUUUCCUCAGAAGUUGAGAGGAUGGGGCUAAAAGUUCCAAUCCUCUAAUCACAGGGUUAGUUCCCCUGGCACCCAGCUCCCAUCCUAAGGCUAUCAACAGCCCCUAGCCAUCAGCUAUCUUAUUAGCAUACAACAAGACCCAUCACUUUGGAGAGUCCAAGCAUUUUAGGAGCUGUGUGCCAGGAAAGGAAGAGAAAGAUCAAAUUCAUAUUUCUUAUUGUAAAUCACAAUGUCGAACUUACUAUUGGGGGAAACUGGGUAAGGGUAUAAGGCACCUCUCUGUAUUACUUCUUACAACUGCAUGUGAAUCUACAGUCUUCUCAAAAUAAAAAAGUUUAAUUUAAAAAAGUUUAAUGUGAUUUCACAUAAAAAUCUAGAUCUCUACCUUCACUGAAAAAAAUUGCAAGAUCUGACCCACUUCCAAAUAUGGCUAAAACAUGCUGGAGAGGAGCAGCAGUUGUACCUCAAGCCUGCGCCCGUUAUCCCAUUUGCCAGGUAAUCCCAGUCCUCACCAUUCCCUAUUGUCUAUCAGCUAGGCCCAGGUUUCUUUGCUAUCUAUCAUGCAGCUUGCCCUGCUAUUUCUCUUACAUCCACUCAGAUUCCCCUCCCUGGACCCCAUGGGCAUUUGAGUUUUCCACUUUUGUAGAGUCAGAUUUCUUAUACCAGUAAAGCAGAGCUAAGUCACGCUGAG